AACACAUGCAAGUCGAGGGGCAGCAGGGCAAUAGCUUGCUAUUGCUGCUGGCGACCGGCGCACGGGUGAGUAACGCGUAUCCAACCUACCCCGCGGUCAGGGACAGCCCGGCGAAAGUCGGAUUAAUACCUGAUGCAGUCAGAAGAGGGCAUCUGAUUUUGACGAAAGAUUUAUCGCCUCGGGAUGGGGAUGCGUAGGAUUAGGCAGGCGGCGGGGUAACGGCCCACCGCGCCGACGAUCCUUAGGGGUUCUGAGAGGAAGGUCCCCCACACUGGUACUGAGACACGGACCAGACUCCUACGGGAGGCAGCAGUGAGGAAUAUUGGUCAAUGGGCGCGAGCCUGAACCAGCCAAGUAGCGUGCCAGGACGACGGCCCUAUGGGUUGUAAACUGCUUUUAUGCGGGGAUAAAGUGCGGCACGUGUGCCGUUUUGUAGGUACCGCAUGAAUAAGGACCGGCUAAUUCCGUGCCAGCCGCAGC
rnacentral:rRNA from 1 species